GAUGAAGAACGUAGCGAAAUGCGAUAAGUAAUGUGAAUUGCAGAAUUCAGUGAAUCAUCGAAUCUUUGAACGCACCUUGCGCCCUUUGGCCAUUCCGAAGGGCAUGCCUGUUUGAGUAUCAUGAACACCUCAACUCUUCAUGGUUUUCCGUGAUGAGCUUGGACUUUGGGGGUCUUGCUGGCCUAUGGUCAGCUCCUCUAAAAUAAAUCAGCUUGCCAGUGUUUGGUGGGUAUCACAGGUGUGAUAACUAUCUACGCUUGUGGUUUUCCACCAGGUAACCUUCAGCAGUGGAGGUUCGCUGGAGCUCACAGAUGUGUCUCUCCUCAGUGAGGACAGCUCUUUGAAUGUUUGAUCUCAAAUCAGGUAGGACUACCCGCUGAACUUAAGCAUAUCAAUAAGCGAGGA
rnacentral:misc_RNA from 1 species